UAGGAACUUGCCCUUAAGAGGGGGAUAACCAGAGGAAACUUUGGCUAAUACCGCAUAAAACUCGAGAGAGGAAAGCUGCCCGCAAGGGUGGCGCUUAAGGAGAGGCCUGCGUCCGAUUAGCUAGUUGGAGAGGUAAAAGGCUCACCAAGGCGAUGAUCGGUAACUGGUCUGAGAGGACGACCAGUCACACUGGGACUGAGACACGGCCCAGACUCCUACGGGAGGCAG
rnacentral:rRNA from 1 species